CCACUUUCUAGAGGCUGCAGCAUUCCUUGGCUCAUGGUCCUGUUCCUCCAUUUUCAAAGCCAGCAAUGACUGGCCCUGAGCUAACAUCCGUGUCCAUCUUCCUCUACUUUAUAUGUGGGACGCCUGCCACAGCAUGGCUUGCCAAGAGGUACCAUGUCCACACCCGGGAUCAGAACCAGCAAAUCCCAGGCCGCCAAAGUGGAACGUGCAAACUUAAUCACUGUGCCACCAGGCCAACCCCAAGGAACCUCCAUUUCUAAUAAACUCCCAGGUGCUUGUCUUUCACCUUAGAGGCUUUUCUUAAACGUCCAAUCAUCUUUGGUUGAAAAGAUAACUAUGUAGGCUCAUUUACUGAUAGAAUUCACCACGCGGUGAUCGG
rnacentral:lncRNA from 1 species